GCGGCGCCCUACGGGAGGCAGCAGUGGGGAAUAUUGCACAAUGGGCGCAAGCCUGAUGCAGCCAUGCCGCGUGUAUGAAGAAGGCCUUCGGGUUGUAAAGUACUUUCAGCGGGGAGGAAGGCGAUGUGGUUAAUAACCAUGUCGAUUGACGUUACCCGCAGAAGAAGCACCGGCUAACUCCGUGCCAGCAGCCGCGGUAAU
rnacentral:rRNA from 1 species